rnacentral:rRNA from 1 species
GGGUGGGGCCGCAGAGACCAGUGAGAAGCGACUGUUUACUAAAAACACAGGUCCGUGCGAAGUCGUAAGACGAUGUAUACGGACUGACGCCUGCCCGGUGCUGGAAGGUUAAGAGGACCGGUUAGUUCCUUCGGGAGCGAAGCUGAGAAUUUAAGCCCCAGUAAACGGCGGUGGUAACUAUAACCAUCCUAAGGUAGCGAAAUUCCUUGUCGGGUAAGUUCCGACCUGCACGAAUGGCGUAACGACUUCUCAGCUGUCUCAACCGUAGACUCGGCGAAAUUGCAUUACGAGUAAAGAUGCUCGUUACGCGCGGCAGGACGAAAAGACCCCGGGACCUUCACUACAGCUUGGUAUUGGUGUUCGGUUCGGUUUGUGUAGGAUAGGUGGGAGACUGUGAAGCGGUGACGCCAGUUAUCGUGGAGUCGUUGUUGAAAUACCACUCUGAUCGAAUUGGACCUCUAACCUCGGACCAUGAUCUGGUUCAGGGACAGUGCCUGGUGGGUAGUUUAACUGGGGCGGUUGCCUCCCAAAAUGUAACGGAGGCGCCCAAAGGUUCCCUCAGCCUGGUUGGCAAUCAGGUGUCGAGUGCAAGUGCACAAGGGAGCUUGACUGUGAGACUGACAGGUCGAGCAGGGACGAAAGUCGGGACUAGUGAUCCGGCACCGGCAAGUGGAAGCGGUGUCGCUCAACGGAUAAAAGGUACCCCGGGGAUAACAGGCUGAUCUUCCCCAAGAGUCCAUAUCGACGGGAUGGUUUGGCACCUCGAUGUCGGCUCGUCGCAUCCUGGGGC